GACAGAGGAUGCAAGCGUUAUCCGGAAUGAUUGGGCGUAAAGCGUCUGUAGGUGGCUUUUUAAGUCCGCCGUCAAAUCCCAGGGCUCAACCCUGGACAGGCGGUGGAAACUACCAAGCUGGAGUACGGUAGGGGCAGAGGGAAUUUCCGGUGGAGCGGUGAAAUGCGUAGAUAUCGGGAAGAACACCAAAGGCGAAAGCGCUCUGCUGGGCCGAAACGUC
rnacentral:rRNA from 1 species